rnacentral:rRNA from 1 species
UGGGGAAUAUUGCACAAUGGGGGAAACCCUGAUGCAGCGACGCCGCGUGAAGGAUGAAGUAUUUCGGUAUGUAAACUUCUAUCAGCAGGGAAGAAAAUGACGGUACCUGACUAAGAAGCCCCGGCUAACUACGUGCCAGCAGCCGCGGUAAUACGUAGGGGGCAAGCGUUAUCCGGAUUUACUGGGUGUAAAGGGAGCGUAGAUGGCAUUGCAAGUCUGGAGUGAAAACCCGGGGCUCAACCCCGGGAUUGCUUUGGAAACUGUGGAGCUAGAGUACCGGAGAGGCAAGUGGAAUUCCUAGUGUAGCGGUGAAAUGCGUAGAUAUUAGGAGGAACACCAGUGGCGAAGGCGGCUUGCUGGACGGUAACUGACGUUGAGGCUCGAAAGCGUGGGGAGCAAACA